GGCGGACGGGUGAGUAACGCGUGAGCAACCUGCCUUCCACAGGGGGAUAACGUACCGAAAGGUACACUAAUACCGCAUGAGACCACGGUACCGAUGGUACAGGGGUCAAAGGAGGAAUCCGGUGGGAGAUGGGCUCGCGUCCGAUUAGGUAGUUGGCGGGGUAAUGGCCCACCAAGCCUAUGAUCGGUAGCCGGCCUGAGAGGGUGAACGGCCACAUUGGAACUGAGAGACGGUCCAAACUCCUACGGGAGGCAGCAGUGGGGAAUAUUGGGCAAUGGGGGGAACCCUGACCCAGCAACGCCGCGUGAGGGAAGAAGGUUUUCGGAUUGUAAACCUCUGUUCUUGGAGAAGAGUGUAAGACGGUAUCCAAGGAGGAAGCCCCGGCUAACUACGUGCCAGCAGCCGCGGUAAUACGUAGGGGGCGAGCGUUGUCCGGAAUGAUUGGGCGUAAAGGGCGCGCAGGCGGCCCGACAAGUCAGUAGUGGAAGUCCAUUUUUCAAGGGUGGAAGUGCUAUUGAAACUGUAGGGCUUGAGUGCGGGAGAGGUUAUCGGAAUUCCCGGUGUAGCGGUGAAAUGCGUAGAGAUCGGGAGGAACACCAGUGGCGAAGGCGGGUAACUGGACCGCAACUGACGCUGAGGCGCGAAAGUGUGGGGAGCGAACGGGAUUAGAUACCCUGGUAGUCCACAC
rnacentral:rRNA from 1 species